AAAUAGACUACCCCGGUAGUCCUAGCCGUAAACGAUACUCGCUAGGUGUCGGCCACGGUGCGACCGUUGUCGGUGCCGUAGGGAAGCCGUGAAGCGAGCCACCUGGGAAGUACGGCCGCAAGGCUGAAACUUAAAGGAAUUGGCGGGGGAGCACCACAACGGGUGGAGCUUGCGGUUUAAUUGGAUUCAACGCCGGAAAUCUUACCGGGACCGACAGCAAUAUGAAGGCCAGGCUGAAGACUUUGCCGGAUUAGCUGAGAGGUGGUGCAUGGCCGUCGUCAGUUCGUACUGUGAAGCAUCCUGUUAAGUCAGGCAACGAGCGAGACCCACGCCCACAGUUGCCAGCGUACUCUCCGGAGUGACGGGUACACUGUGGGGACCGCCGCUGCUAAAGCGGAGGAAGGAAUGGGCAACGGUAGGUCAGUAUGCCCCGAAUAUCCCGGGCUACACGCGAGCUACAAUGGUUGGUACAAUGGGUAUCUACCCGAAAGGGGAUGGAAAUCUCCUAAAGCCAAUCUUAGUUCGGAUUGAGGGCUGCAACUCGCCCUCA
rnacentral:rRNA from 1 species